rnacentral:rRNA from 1 species
AGAGUUUGAUCAUGGCUCAGGAUGAACGCUAGCGGCAGGCUUAACACAUGCAAGUCGAAGGGCAUCGAGGGAAGUGCUUGCACUUUCUGUCGGCGACUGGCGCACGGGUGAGUAACACGUAUGCAACCUGCCCCCUGCAGGGGGACAACUUUCCGAAAGGAAGGCUAAUCCCGCGUAUAUUCCGAGGAGGCAUCUCUUCGGGAGGAAAGAUUCAUCGGCAGGGGAUGGGCAUGCGGCGCAUUAGGCAGACGGCGGUGUAACGGACCACCGUACCGACGAUGCGUAGGGGUUCUGAGAGGAAGGUCCCCCACACUGGUACUGAGACACGGACCAGACUCCUACGGGAGGCAGCAGUGAGGAAUAUUGGUCAAUGGGCGGGAGCCUGAACCAGCCAAGCCGCGUGAGGGAAGAAGGCCCUAUGGGUCGUAAACCUCUUUUGUCAGGGAACAAAAGCCGAUAUGUAUAUUGGUGUGAGUGUACCUGAAGAAAAAGCAUCGGCUAACUCCGUGCCAGCAGCCGCGGUAAUACGGAGGAUGCGAGCGUUAUCCGGAUUUAUUGGGUUUAAAGGGUGCGUAGGCGGCGGUGCAAGUCAGCGGUAAAAGCCCGGGGCUCAACCCCGGCGAGCCGUUGAAACUGCAGUGCUAGAGAAGGCGAGAGGUACGCGGAAUGCGCAGUGUAGCGGUGAAAUGCUUAGAUAUUGCGCAGAACUCCGAUUGCGAAGGCAGCGUACUGGCGCCUGACUGACGCUGAGGCACGAAAGCGUGGGGAUCGAACAGGAUUAGAUACCCUGGUAGUCCACGCAGUAAACGAUGAAUGCCGGCUGUUCGGGUUGAUUGAGCACCUGAGCGGCGAAGCGAAAGCGAUAAGCAUUCCA